rnacentral:lncRNA from 1 species
ACGGAUUCGUGUACCGUGAGCACCACCACUCACCGGGGUACUAUGACGGACGUUACUGGACAAUGUGGAAGCUGCCCAUGUUUGGAUGCACUGAUUCAUCUCAGGUGUUGAAAGAAGUAGAGGAGUGCAAGAAGGAGUACCCAAAUGCAUACAUCCGAAUUAUUGGAUUCGACAACGUCCGUCAAGUGCAGUGCAUCAGUUUCAUUGCCUUCAAGCCACCUUCUGCCUCUACCUAAUUAAUUAAUUAAGCAAGCUACAUUUAUUUAUUUCUGUAUCUUAAUUAAUUUCUCCUCCAUUUUUCCCAUCCAAUUGCAAAUUUACUGUUUUGAAUUCCUUUUCCUUUCCUGUCUGCUUCGAUUUCUGUUUGCGGAUUUCGAAUGACAAUCAUGUAUGAUGAGGAGAUUAUCAAGUAAUAAAAAUUUCUACGUCCAGAUAUAUAGAGGAAUCUCAACCAUGCAUACAUCUAAAUCUAAGUACUUGAGAUUUCCAUGCCAAUGAAUAUUUAUAUUUAGAGAGA